GACGAACGCUGGCGGCGUGCUUAACACAUGCAAGUCGAACGGAAAGGCCCUGCUUUUGUGGGUGCUCGAGUGGCGAACGGGUGAGUAACACGUGAGUAACCUGCCCUUGACUUUGGGAUAACUUCAGGAAACUGGGGCUAAUACCGGAUAGGAGCUCCUGCUGCAUGGCGGGGGUUGGAAAGUUUCGGCGGUUGGGGAUGGACUCGCGGCUUAUCAGCUUGUUGGUGGGGUAGUGGCUUACCAAGGCUUUGACGGGUAGCCGGCCUGAGAGGGUGACCGGCCACAUUGGGACUGAGAUACGGCCCAGACUCCUACGGGAGGCAGCAGUGGGGAAUAUUGCACAAUGGGCGGAAGCCUGAUGCAGCAACGCCGCGUGCGGGAUGACGGCCUUCGGGUUGUAAACCGCUUUCGCCUGUGACGAAGCGUGAGUGACGGUAAUGGGUAAAGAAGCACCGGCUAACUACGUG
rnacentral:rRNA from 1 species